rnacentral:lncRNA from 1 species
CGUGAUACGCUGAUUUGACAGCAGCGAAUGAGCGGAAAGGUAGGAUUGGAUGCCGAGUUGCAGGAUUCAUCGAUUUUGCUCGCGUCCACCGCUCUGCUCCUGUUUGUCGCGCACUGCCGCUUGCUGGAUUCAUGCCUGGGCCACGCCUGACGUGCUCAUUGAUGAAUAGAAGAAAGCACAAUUUGCAUCUAAAUCAAAGCAAAUCAACACAAAAAAGGGAGUUUUCCUCCUGCGAGGUAUAGGAUUCCUUUCUCACUAUUUUUUUUUUUGCAUUUGAGCCUCAGCUGCGUACGCACGGGGGAAGCAGAGCUUCGAUGGUCAUGGUGUGCAGGAUGCAAAUCGAGUUCAGAUCCUGUCAUUGAAUCGCUGGUGCCAGCGGCUCUGCCCCCGCUCGCCGCACGCGCUUGCUCCGGUCUCGUCGCACGCGGUAUACUCCGCCGUGCCGAUGGGGCCUGCAGCGCCGCCUGCGCCGCUAGCUCCCGCCGAAUCAGCUUCGCGCAGACCCCGCGCCGGCACGGCUCGCGCUCGCCACUCGCCGCGCUCCGCACGUGUCGUGGCUCGCGCUCGCGGUGGAGAACCAACGUAGGAGGGGAUCGGGCGGGGCGACAUGGAGGGUUAUCGGGUUGGGAUGGGGAGGGAGUGGGA